AUAUCGGGAAGAACACCAAUGGCGAAGGCAGGUCUCUGGGCCGUUACUGACGCUGAGGAGCGAAAGCGUGGGGAGCGAACAGGAUUAGAUACCCUGGUAGUCCACGCCGUAAACGGUGGAUGCUGGAUGUGGGGCCCGUUCCACGGGUUCCGUGUCGGAGCUAACGCGUUAAGCAUCCCGCCUGGGGAGUACGGCCGCAAGGCUAAAACUCAAAGAAAUUGACGGGGGCCCGCACAAGCGGCGGAGCAUGCGGAUUAAUUCGAUGCAACGCGAAGAACCUUACCUGGGCUUGACAUGUUCCCGACGGUCGUAGAGAUACGGCUUCCCUUCGGGGCGGGUUCACAGGUGGUGCAUGGUCGUCGUCAGCUCGUGUCGUGAGAUGUUGGGUUAAGUCCCGCAACGAGCGCAACCCUCGCCCCGUGUUGCCAGCGGAUUAUGCCGGGAACUCACGGGGGACCGCCGGGGUUAACUCGGAGGAAGGUGGGGAUGACGUCAGAUCAUCAUGCCCCUUACGUCCAGGGCUUCACGCAUGCUACAAUGGCCGGUACAACGGGAUGCGACGCGGCGACGCGGAGCGGAUCCCUGAAAACCGGUCUCAGUUCGGAUCGCAGUCUGCAACUCGACUGCGUGAAGGCGGAGUCGCUAGUAAUCGCGAAUCAGCAACGUCGCGGUGAAUGCGUUCCCGGGCCUUGUACACACCGCCCGUCAAGUCAUGAAAGUGGGCAGCACCCGAAGCCGGUGGCCUAACCCCUUGUGGGAUGGAGCCGUCUAAGGUGAGGCUCGUGAUUGGGACUAAGUCGUAACAAGGUAGCCGUACCGGAAGGUGCGGCUGGAUCACCUCCUUUCUACGGAG
rnacentral:rRNA from 1 species